rnacentral:rRNA from 11 species
UGAUACAUGCUAGUCUAACAGAAAAGGUUCAUCCACUUCUGUGGCGUACAGGUGAGUAAUACAUAAAAACCUACCUAAAAGACCCUGUAAAUCGGGGAUUUUCAAAAGACUGUCGUCGCUUUUAGAUGGUUUUAUGCAAGAUUAGGUUGUUGGUUAUCCAAGCCGAAGAUCUUUAGCCGGUUUGAGAGAACGAUCGGCCACAUAGGAACUGAGACAAGGUCCUAGCCAUUUUUGGCCAGCAGUACAAAGUAUUGGACAAUGGGCGAAAGCCUGAUCCAGUAAUAUCUCGUGGGUGAUGAAGGGUUUUUUUGCCCGUAAAACCAAUAACCACUGACUAAAACAUGAUACCGGUCUGUGGAAAAAUCCUGGCUAAUCUUCGUGCCAGCAGCCGCGGUAAAACGAAAAGGGUGAGCGUUAUACGAAUUUAUUGGGCGUAAAGUGCGUGA